rnacentral:rRNA from 1 species
UACGAAGGGGGCUAGCGUUGUUCGGAAUUACUGGGCGUAAAGCGCACGUAGGCGGAUUUGUAAGUCAGGGGUGAAAUCCCGGGGCUCAACCUCGGAACUGCCUUUGAUACUGCAAGUCUUGAGUCCGAUAGAGGUGAGUGGAAUUCCUAGUGUAGAGGUGAAAUUCGUAGAUAUUAGGAAGAACACCAGUGGCGAAGGCGGCUCACUGGAUCGGUACUGACGCUGAGGCACGAAAGCGUGGGGAUCAAACAGG